rnacentral:rRNA from 1 species
AUGGAGCUGUUCCCCCGGCAGCCGGACCUGGCGCUGCAGAUCAGCAACACCAGCUCCUCUUCCACGCCACCCACCGCGCCGCCGGGCAGCUGGGGGCGACCACCGGACGCUACCGGCGCCACCAACAUGGACCACUUCAGCCACCACCUAGGGUUUCUGCGAGCCGGUGCCACCGACAUGGCCAACAAAGAUGGCACGCCGCCGUCGGCGUGGACGCCGCCGCCUUCAGCUGCCACGGCCGCCAGCUACUCCAACCACAUCAGCAACCACUACCACCACCGGAUGAACGCCUUGCUCAAGCCUAUAAGAGGGGUCCCCAUCUACCACCACCACCCCUCCUUCCAGCAGCUCCAGCACCAGCACAUGGCCAUGGCCUACCGGAGCAGCGGCGGCGGGGGCGGCGGCGGCUUCUUGUCGUCGAGGUCGAGGUUCCCGCCGGGGCGGCGGAGCGUGAGGGCUCCAAGGAUGCGCUGGACGACGACGCUGCACGCGCGCUUCGUGCACGCCGUCGAGCUCCUAGGAGGCCAUGAGAGAGCCACUCCCAAGUCGGUGCUGGAGCUGAUGGAUGUGAAGGAUCUCACCUUGGCACAUGUCAAGUCUCACUUGCAGAUGUAUCGCACGAUAAAGAGUACCGACAAACCCAUGACAUCACCAGGACAAAAUGAAGGAUUCGAUAACGGAUCAGCGGGUGAGAUCUCUGACGAGAGCUUGCCCGAGGCCCUCAACACCCACAGGGGCACCGAUCAAAAUGGAACCAGCGCAAAUUCUCACAGCAGCAGCAGUUACAAUGGUGGUUUGUGGAGUAACUCCUCAAGCAGGGUAGGAUGGCCUGGUUUCGGCCCAAAUGGCACUGAAAAUAGAGGACAGUGUCACAAGGAAGCUGAUGCAUCAAAGAGCCUUGAGAUGUCAGGGGAGAUGAACGUGUCAUGCAUCUCCGAUCAAACAUCGAGUCCGCCGGUGCCGAACCUCGAGUUCACCCUAGGGAGGACACACCAUUAA